UGGGGAAUAUUGCACAAUGGGCGCAAGCCUGAUGCAGCCAUGCCGCGUGUAUGAAGAAGGCCUUCGGGUUGUAAAGUACUUUCAGCGGGGAGGAAGGCGAUAAGGUUAAUAACCUUGUCGAUUGACGUUACCCGCAGAAGAAGCACCGGCUAACUCCGUGCCAGCAGCCGCGGUAAUACGGAGGGUGCAAGCGUUAAUCGGAAUUACUGGGCGUAAAGCGCACGCAGGCGGUCUGUCAAGUCGGAUGUGAAAUCCCCGGGCUCAACCUGGGAACUGCAUUCGAAACUGGCAGGCUAGAGUCUUGUAGAGGGGGGUAGAAGUCCAGGUGUAGCGGUGAAAUGCGUAGAGAUCUGGAGGAAUACCGGUGGCGAAGGCGGCCCCCUGGACAAAGACUGACGCUCAGGUGCGAAAGCGUGGGGAGCAAACA
rnacentral:rRNA from 1 species